rnacentral:misc_RNA from 1 species
GCUUUGUCUUCUUCUACACCUUUAUCAUCUUGAUACUUAUCUUCAAAAUCAAUACCUUCAUCAUCUUUCUUAUCUCUAAGAACUAAUGGACUCUUAGUUUUCAAGUUAACGGAUGAUGCUUUUCUUUUUCCUUUAGUAUAAAUCUUAAAAUAAGUGUAGAUGCAACAAAUUUUUUUUUUUUGUUUGAGAAGAUAACAAUAGAGCGGUAGUGUUGAAAAUGGAAUUAUGGGGGUUUG